AGAGGCCCUGCUAUAAUCAUGUCAUCUUCAGGGACUUAAGACCCAUCAUGCUGGACUUAGGGUAUCAGAUCCUAAACACAACCUCCACAGCCAUGUGAGGACUCUGGGACAAGGGCUGGGACACUGGAAAAUCUUACUAAGUGGUGUCUAACUGGCCCACCAGACAGAGAGAAGGGGAUCCAAGAAGAACUGAGGCCCUUGGUACCCAGUGCAGGCUGCUUUCCAGGCUGCCCACCCUGGGUCUCUGCACCAAGUCCUACACUGGGCACUGUGUGCUCCCAACACACCUGCGUGUGCCAUGCUUGCCUCAAGCCUUCAGAUGUCCCAGGGACUCCAAGAUGUGCACAUGCUUGUGAGCCCAUGUGCAUACUUGAUGACUAGUGACACCAAAAAGGGAUUUUCACUGGAUGGCCAGGGGCAAACUGAUGCUCUAAUCUCCUGGGUCAGGGUGCCUUGGCAGGGUCUCCCCGGCGGUCCUACCUGCAAACACUGCGGAGCAGUAGGCAUCGCUGAUGUCGGAAUCCGGGGUGUGGACAUUCUCCGCAAAGAGGAUGAAGACUCGCAGCAUCGCGAAGCUGGAGGGGC
rnacentral:lncRNA from 1 species